UUAAAGGCGUGCGCCACCACGACCAGCAUGGCCCAGUCUUUCUACCCUUAGAUUUAUUCAAGAAAAGCAGAUGCCCCUAGUUGCAUACUGGCUUUAUUUGUAGUAGAUCAACCCAGAUGCCCAUCAACAAAUGUGUAAAUGAAGCAUGGUAGAUCCACAUGGUGGAGUAAGACCCAUCAGUAAAAAGGAAUCACACAGCAAUAUGGGGCCCAAGAAGAGAAAUGUCAAGAGUCUGUCUGAUAAGUAUCAAGGGCUAGUAUUGUUUCUAAAGACUGUUUGGGGACACCAGCUUGGCAUUCCGGAAAUCUUCGGGCUUCUCUGGAAUUUUAUAAGGAUAAUUAGAGAAAUGUCGUCUGCGGCUGGAAGAUGGUGAUUUGUGAGUCUGUGGUGAAGGGUGUGUGCUUACUGUUGGAAGGGAAACAGAAAGGCGCUGAAGGUCCUCAUAGUGUGGAAAAGUAACGGCACAGUCCCUCUUGUUUCCAAGAGUGUAUUUUACACCCAGUCAAGUGCACACUAACUCUAAGUAUAAUGGUUUUAUUGUUGUUGUUGUUGUUGUAUACCGUAAGUAUUAAACACACAAAUGGAGACACAGAACAUUUCCUCGAAGUUCCCUUGGUCCCCCUUUAACUGCAAUGUGCUACCCCUAUAGGUCUGGCUCAGAUCUCCACUGAUUCUUUUUGUCUGUAUUUGAAUUUAGAUUCAUGCAGAUGGAGUCAUACUGUGUACAAUCUUGUCAGCAUUCCUGCUCCUGCUGUGACACGUGACCACACAAAUGCGUAUCUUGCAGCUUUUUGUGUUAGAAGCCCAGCAAGGAACUAGGUAUGGCAAUGCAGUCCUGAAAUCCCAGCACUCAGGAGGCAGGAGAGGGAAGACUGUGAACCCGGGGUAGCCUAAGCUACUGCACUACAAAGCUAAACAAAAGCAUAAAAGAAAUCCAUCAAAGGUUUUGCUGGGCUGGUGUCAGUCGAUGUGCUGGUAAAGCCGCAUUCUUCUCUAGAUCCCUAACAGGGAAACUGUCUUUUUGUCUUUUCUAACUUGAGACACAUCCCCACUCCACUAACCUCCCCCCGCCCCCCCAACACCUUGACAAUACUUGGCCCACAACUCCUUCUCCAGUCUUCAAAAUUAGCAGCGACACACCCCUUAUUUCUAUCCUCCCCAUCCACAGCCUCCCCCCCCCC
rnacentral:lncRNA from 1 species